UUCCUACAGUGUGGGCUUUGUUUUUUUUUUAACUUUCCAAGGAGGACAAGAGCAAGAGCGAAAAAAGAAAAAAGAAUGAAGGAAGGAAGGGAAAAAUAUCAAAAUAGAACUUCAAAGAACAAAACUGCCCAUGCACAUCUCUUUUAUAUAAGAGAAUCAGAUCCUACAGUGGUUGGGCAAAAGAUAUGGGCCUGUUUAGGGGUUGAAGUCCAAAGCUUGGCCGCUGAGCACUAAGCUAGUCUACAGGUAUCAAGUUCCGAUUCAUGGGAACUCACUCCUCUGCGCAUGGUUAUUUGUGUAACUAGUAACUACCACCUAUCAUUCUUCAUAAUAUCCAAGAAAUCGUCAAGAGAUAUUAGUAUAUAUAAAC
rnacentral:sRNA from 1 species